UUGAGUUCAUUCGCUUUGUUAUUUUUGUUAUUUCAGUGUUCAGUUCAUAUAAAGUAUGAACACGUACCACAGUGCGUUUUGGUCGCCAUCUUCCAACAGCCAUUACACAGUAUCUGGUGUGACCACCAUUUGCCUCAUGCAGCGAAACACAUCUCCUUCACAUGGAGUUCAUCAGGCUGUUGAUUGUGGCGUGUGGAAUGUCCUCUUCAAUGGCCGUGCGAAGUUGCUGAAUAUUGACGGGAACUGGAAAACAUUGCCGUACACGUCGAUCCAGAGCAUCCCAAACGUGCUCAAUGGACUCGAGACCACAGCAGCGAUCCUGCUCUUGCCCUACCUCUUCUAUGAGAACCAGAGUGGCCUUUAUGUCCGUGACAAGUGCACAUCGACUGAAAUCCAUUUCACCAUGAGAGUGAAUUCCUGCUGGCCUUUGAUUGGGAGAACAUCCAUGCCCUAGAGGACGUCCCCAUGGGACUUGUGGCUCUGCUAGGGCUGUAUUCUUUAUUUUCAGUUCAAUUUCCCCAAAAUGUCAGAAAAACACUGAUGUUCUUAUGUUACUGUGUUCUGGGGAUAAGAGAAGUUGGGGUGAAGUUACCAGGGACGGUAAUGAAGAUGGCACACUUCCUAACAUAACUAAGUGGUUGUUGGACACACACACACUAAAGCUAAAAUAAAUCUGUAUUUAGCAUCAAG